AACGAACGCUGGCGGCAGGCCUAACACAUGCAAGUCGAGCGCCCAGCAAUGGGAGCGGCGGACGGGUGAGUAACACGCGGGAAUCUGCCUUUGGUUCGGGAUAACCGCGGGAAACUGCGGCUAAUACCGAAUGCCCUCGAGAGAGGAAAGAUUUAUCGCCAGAAGAGGAGCCCGCGUCCGAUUAGGUAGUUGGUGGGGUAAAGGCCUACCAAGCCGACGAUCGGUAGCUGGUCUGAGAGGAUGAUCAGCCACACUGGGACUGAGACACGGCCCAGACUCCUACGGGAGGCAGCAGUGGGGAAUAUUGGACAAUGGGCGCAAGCCUGAUCCAGCAACGCCGCGUGAAUGAUGAAGGCCUUCGGGUCGUAAAGUUCUUUGUAAGGGAAGAAAAUAGACGGUACCUUAAGAAUAAGACUCCGGCUAACUUCGUGCCAGCAGCCGCGGUAAU
rnacentral:rRNA from 1 species